CAAAAAUAAAUUUCAAUCCUCCCCGCGCUCUCUUCCUCUGCAUCGUCUCUGUUGCAGUUCUGCCCAUCGAGACUGUUCGACACCUCCAUCAUAGGUGCCGCCGCCACCUCCACUAUCGGAACUCCAGUGCCACCAUACAGACUGCCUAAGACACCCUUCUCAUGCCUCUAGGUAAGCCCCAAGCCGUUGCUCUCUCCCUCGUACACUUGCAUGUAUCGUAACCCCUCUUGUGCAAAAAUAAUAGAUUGGUCCACCCACCCAUCGGUGAUGCCUUCCAUUGCCACUAAAAUAGAGGGUGUUACAUUUAUCAUUUUGGAAUGUAUGGUUCUACUUAUAUGAUGCUUCCAUGAUUUUUUA